UAGGGAAUCUUGCGCAAUGGGCGAAAGCCUGACGCAGCGACGCCGCGUGUGGGAUGAAUGCCUUCGGGUUGUAAACCACUUUCAGCAGGGACGAAGCGAAAGUGACGGUACCUGCAGAAGAAGCCCCGGCUAACUACGUGCCAGCAGCCGCGGUAAUACGUAGGGGGCAAGCGUUAUCCGGAUUUAUUGGGCGUAAAGAGCUCGUAGGCGGCCGAUCACGUCGGAUGUGAAAGCUCGGGGCUCAACCCUGAGAGGCCAUUCGAUACGGAUCGGCUAGAGGUAGGUAGGGGAAAGUGGAAUUCCUGGUGUAGCGGUGAAAUGCGCAGAUAUCAGGAGGAACACCGGUGGCGAAGGCGGCUUUCUGGGCCUUACCUGACGCUGAGGAGCGAAAGCUGGGGGAGCAAACAGGAUUAGAUACCCUGGUAGUCCACGCCCUAAAACGAUGUCAACUGGUUGUCGGGGAAGUUAUUCCUUGGUAACGAAGCUAACGCGUGAAGUUGACCGCCUGGGGA
rnacentral:rRNA from 1 species